rnacentral:rRNA from 1 species
UACAGAGGUCUCAAGCGUUGUUCGGAUUCAUUGGGCGUAAAGGGUGCGUAGGUGGCGCUGUAAGUCGGGUGUGAAAUUUCGGAGCUUAACUCCGAAACUGCAUUCGAUACUGCGGUGCUUGAGGACUGGAGAGGAGACUGGAAUUCCUGGUGUAGCGGUGGAAUGCGCAGAUAUCAGGAGGAACACCAAUGGCGAAGGCAGCUCGCUGGGACGGUACUGACGCUGAGGCGCGAAAGCGUGGGGAGCAAACAGG